AGCAUGGAACACCUGUGGAUGAUUUGAUGAAGAGUUUGAUGAAGGAGAGCAAAGGAUGAGGUAUUCCUCGAGGAAGCCCUGUUAAAUUUACAAGCCAUGACCCCACAUCAGCGGGAAGGAGGCUCCUCUGACAGGGAAGAGGCGGCAGCGUGGAUGGAGCUUUAAGACUCUGUGUCUGGCUCUCGGUGGAGUCACUGCUCUCCAACUAUUUACAUUUUAAUCUUCUUUCAUCUGUGAGAUUUUAUUGAUUUACACGUCGUCCUUCAGUGUGGGAAACGCGCUGCUGAUCUGACAUCUGCUCCGUCACCAUCUUGAGGUGCAUUCCUGUUUAGUUCCACUCCGUCCAGGUGUUUGUGUCUCGCGCGUGAUUGCCUCAUCCUCUGAGCACCCGAGCCACUUUGACAUCAAAGCAAAGGUGUGUUGUUGCCCCUCUUCACUCUGAGGAGGAGAAUGUCACGGGAAGACAACAAGCCUGUGAGCGCGAGGCUGCUCCGGCCUCGGGACGAUG